AUUGAACGCUGGCGGAAUGCUUUACACAUGCAAGUCGAGCGGCAGCGCGGCCUUCGGGCUGGCGGCGAGCGGCGAACGGGUGAGUAAUGCAUCGGAACAUGCCCAGUCGUGGGGGAUAACACUUCGAAAGAAGUGCUAUACCGCAUACGUCCUGAGGGGGAAAGCGGGGGAUCGCAAGACCUCGCGCGAUUGGAGUGGCCGAUGUCAGAUUAGCUAGUUGGUGGGGUAAAGGCCUACCAAGGCGACGAUCUGUAGCUGGUCUGAGAGGAUGAUCAGCCACACUGGGACUGAGACACGGCCCAGACUCCUACGGGAGGCAGCAGUGGGGAAUUUUGGACAAUGGGGGCAACCCUGAUCCAGCCAUUCCGCGUGAGUGAAGAAGGCCUUCGGGUUGUAAAGCUCUUUCGGCAGGAACGAAACGGUGGGCUCUAACAUAGUCCGCUAAUGACGGUACCUGAAGAAGAAGCACCGGCUAACUACGUG
rnacentral:rRNA from 1 species